rnacentral:lncRNA from 1 species
UCCUGCACAAAGUGUGUGCUUCGAUUUUUGAUCCGUCAAAGAACAUGGCCGCCGUUACUUAAAAUAGAACAUAGGGGUCAAAUGCAGUUUUUGGCUUAUAUCUCAAAAACGAAAGCAUUUAGAGCAAAUCUGACAUGAGGUAAAAAUGUUCAUUAGGUCAAGAUCUAUCAGCCCUGAAAUUUUCAGAUGAAUCAAACAAACCAUUGUUGGGUUGCUGCCACUUAAUUGGUAAUUUUAAGGAAAUUUUGCAGUUUUUGGUCAUUAUCU